UGGGGAAUAUUGCACAAUGGGCGCAAGCCUGAUGCAGCCAUGCCGCGUGUGUGAAGAAGGCCUUCGGGUUGUAAAGCACUUUCAGCGGGGAGGAAGGCGAUAAGGUUAAUAACCUUGUCGAUUGACGUUACCCGCAGAAGAAGCACCGGCUAACUCCGUGCCAGCAGCCGCGGUAAUACGGAGGGUGCAAGCGUUAAUCGGAAUUACUGGGCGUAAAGCGCACGCAGGCGGUCUGUCAAGUCGGAUGUGAAAUCCCCGGGCUCAACCUGGGAACUGCAUUCGAAACUGGCAGGCUAGAGUCUUGUAGAGGGGGGUAGAAUUCCAGGUGUAGCGGUGAAAUGCGUAGAGAUCUGGAGGAAUACCGGUGGCGAAGGCGGCCCCCUGGGCAAAGACUGACGCUCAGGUGCGAAAGCGUGGGGAGCAAACAGG
rnacentral:rRNA from 1 species